rnacentral:lncRNA from 1 species
ACCUCCUCCACCUUGCACUCUGUCUGCCCUCCUUUCACCCACUUUCUCCCAGCCCCCUGGCCUCCUUCCUUUCCACCUGGGUCAGGGCAUCAAGGACCUGCCUUAGUUCAUCCUCUGACCCGGCCCGGCUGGGAUGCCACCCUGCAGGCCAUCCCCGCUGCGUGUCUCCUGCUCAGCAGGGUCCCUCGAGCAGUUCUUGCGGAAGCCACCUCUUGCUUCUGCGGUGAGGGCCGGGGGCGGCGGGGUCUGCCGGCCUCUGAUCUCACCCUCCGCCCGAGGAGGUGGCCGCUUCUAGAUGGCCAGGUCCUGGCGGACAAUGGCCAGGGACGCCUUGCUGCGGCCGCUGCCGCCCUCGCUGUCGCCGGCCCGGUGCGCAUAGGCGGGUGGGGCGUAGGGGUCGGGGCCCGGGCGCCGGGAGGGCAGGCUCGGCGGCGGCGGCGGCGGCGGCGGCAGCGGAGGCGGGAGCAGCUUCUGCGCCACCUCGUGCGCGCGGUUGCAGCGGUUGUCGCGCUCGGCCGCCUGGUGAGAGCCCCUGGCGCACGGACGGCCCUUCCAGAGCAGGUGGCCCAGCUCGGCCACGCUGAGCAGCGCCGAGAGCAGCCCCACGGCGAAGUAGAAGACCACGAAGACGGUCUUCUCGGUGGGCCGGCUCACGAAGCAGUCCACGAUGUGCGGGCACGGCGGGCCGGCGCACGCGAAGCGCGGGGCCACGCGGAAGCCGUAGAACAGCGUCUGGCCGCCCAGGAAGGCCAGCUCGGCCGCCAGGCGCAGCACCACGCUCAGCAGGUAGCAGCAGCGCGCGCGGCGGGCGCGCAGGGCGGAGGGCGCGCAGGGGCCCUGGGGGCGCCCCCGGGGCGUGGCGUCGGCCCCACCCGGCUCCUUGCUGGUCUCGUGCAUGGAGUAGAUGAGGAACAGCACCGGGGGCGCCGAGAGCAGCAGGAUGUGGAAGACCCAGAAGCGGUAGUGGGAGACGGGGAAAGCGCGGUCAUAGCAGAUCUGGCGACAGCCUGGCUGCCGCGUGUUGCACACGAACUCCUCCUGCUCGUCCGCGAACACGGCCUCGCCCACCGUGGCCAGCACCAGGAUGCGGAAGAUCAGCAUGACCACCAGCCACAGGCGGCCCACGAGCGGCACCUGCGACUGCAAGGCGUCCAGCAGCGAGCCGAGGAACGCCCACUCCCCCAUGGCGCUGUGGACGCAGGGCUGGAGUCAGAGGCCGGGGCAGAUCAGGGACCCCCACCCCUCCAUCCCCGUCGGGGUGUAGUCCAUUAG